GCCUGGGUGGCUCAGUUGGUUAAGCAUCUGACUUUGUCUCAGGUCAUGAUCUCAUGGUUCGUGGGUUCAAGCCCACAUCGGGCU
rnacentral:tRNA from 1 species